rnacentral:rRNA from 1 species
GAUGAACGCUAGCUACAGGCUUAACACAUGCAAGUCGAGGGGGCAGCGCAGUGUAGCAAUACAUGGGCGGCGACCGGCGCACGGGUGCGUAACGCGUAUCCAACCUUCCCGUUACUCAGGGAUAGCCUUCCGAAAGGGAGAUUAAUACCUGAUGGUGUUGAAAUUCCGCAUGUUAUUUCAACUAAAGAUUUAUCGGUAACGGAUGGGGAUGCGUGACAUUAGAUAGUAGGCGGGGUAACGGCCCACCUAGUCUACGAUGUCUAGGGGUUCUGAGAGGAAGGUCCCCCCACACUGGAACUGAGACACGGUCCAGACUCCUACGGGAGGCAGCAGUGAGGAAUAUUGGUCAAUGGGCGGGAGCCUGAACCAGCCAAGUAGCGUGAAGGAUGACUGCCCUACGGGUUGUAAACGUUCUUUGUUUGGGAAUAAAAGACGCUACGUGUAGCGUCCUGCCAUGUACCUUACGAUAAGCAUCGGCUAAUUCCGUG